UGGGGAACAUGACCUUCGGCGGGGGAUAGCCGGCCCAACGGUCGGGUAAUACCGCGUACGACCACAUGGGGACAUCCCUGAGUGGUGAAAGCAGCAAUGCGCCGAUGGAGUGCCUCGGCGGCCUAUCAGCUAGUUGGUGAGGUACGGCUCACCAAGGCGACGACGGGUANCUGGUCUGAGAGGAUGAUCAGCCANAUUGGGACUGANACACGGCCCAGACCUCGUAACCGGGGAG
rnacentral:rRNA from 1 species